rnacentral:rRNA from 1 species
UACGUAGGGUGCAAGCGUUAUCCGGAAUUAUUGGGCGUAAAGAGCUCGUAGGCGGUUUGUCGCGUCUGCUGUGAAAACUCGGGGCUUAACUCCGGGCCUGCAGUGGGUACGGGCAGACUAGAGUGCGGUAGGGGGAGACUGGAAUUCCUGGUGUAGCGGUGAAAUGCGCAGAUAUCAGGAGGAACACCGGUGGCGAAGGCGGGUCUCUGGGCCGUAACUGGACGCUGAGGGGCGAAAGCUAGGGGAGCGAAUGGG